rnacentral:rRNA from 1 species
CGAUAUAUUAGAGAGUUUGAUCCUGGCUCAGGACGAACGCUGGCGGCGCGCCUAACACAUGCAAGUCGAGCGGAGAUAGUACUUCGGUUCUAUCUUAGCGGCGGACGGGUGAGUAACGCGUGAGCAACCUGCCCUUGAGCGGGGGAUAGCGUCUGGAAACGGACGGUAAUACCGCAUAAUGUACGUUGGAGGCAUCUCCGAUGUACCAAAGGAGGAAUCCACUCAAGGAUGGGCUCGCGUCCGAUUAGGUAGUUGGUGAGGUAACGGCCCACCAAGCCUGCGAUCGGUAGCCGGACUGAGAGGUUGUACGGCCACAUUGGGACUGAGACACGGCCCAGACUCCUACGGGAGGCAGCAGUGGGGGAUAUUGCACAAUGGAGGAAACUCUGAUGCAGCGACGCCGCGUGAGGGAAGAAGGUCUUCGGAUUGUAAACCU